rnacentral:misc_RNA from 1 species
UUAAAGUUCACUGGCAAACAAAGGGACUGAUACUAUUAACAUCAUAAAUUUUUCAUUGAUUUUACCUAUGCCAAAAGGUUAUUUGUUGAUACCAGUUAUUAUUCUUUCAUAACUGGACACAAAUCUUUAAUAAUUUCUCCUUCUCGUUCUUGCACAAAAAAAUAAAAGAUACUGUUAACUUGUACAUUUGUCAAUACUUCUCACUGUAUCCAAAAGUUAUUUGUUGAUACCCGUAAUUAUUCUUUUGUGCUAG